rnacentral:lncRNA from 1 species
GAUCUUCAUCUUUUUUUCAGUAGUUUUUUCUAGUUGUCUUCUUGUAUUUGGGAAACUUAAUCCUUAUGUUAUGAAUUAUUUGAACACAAAUUUUUGUAGGAAUGUGCAGAUUGGAUUAUAAUUAUGAGUUUGUCUUUUAGCUAAUUAAAGUAUGGUAAUUUUUGCUCAAAAUAAAGACAUGUUAGAUUUGAGUUUCUUGGCACAUUGCUUGGCUGCCCAAAUUUAUGCCUUGACUGCUAUAUAGUUAGUGUGACCUUGUGGGUCUUUUUUUAUAACCCCACUUCUUUUGCAAGUUGAGCUCUGUUCUUCUGUUGUUAUCAUCCUAGAUUUCGGCUUUCCAAUCUGUUGCUACCUUCCUAGAUCCAAACUUCCCAAUCGAAGUUCUCCAUAUCAGCAUUCUCUGUGAUUCUCUUGAUUAGCUGUCCUAGGUCCAAACUUCAUACUCAAUAUUGCUUCCCUAGGCUAUUACUCUUGAUUUAUCAUCUUUCCAGUUCUAGCACCCGAAGAUCAUCCUAUGGCAUGCGUGCCUGCAUGCACUUGCCCGCACGCUGGCAUGCUUGCACUCGUGCACGCACACAUGCAAACACAUGCACUUGCACACUUAUGCGCAUGAGCAUAUGCGGUCAUGCAUGUGCACAUGCAUGCACACAUGUAGAAUGAAAAUCUAUACUGUGUCACAGAAUUUCCCAAGGUUCAAAAUGCUUGCGAGG